UCAAGUUCUGUUCUUCAUACGGUCGUCCUGUAAUUGUUCACCCUUCCCGUACUUGUUCUGCCUCACUCUUAUCAUUAUCUUUUUUUUUUAAUACGGUCGUCCUGAGCUGUACUUGUUUUGCGCGGUCGUCCCGAUCCGCAAAUAUUCUUACUUCCAUUUUUACACCACACGGUCGUCCCGAUGCGCAUUUGUUUUCAUUUUCUUUUGUAUCCAUACGGUCGUCCCGAGUCGUACCCAUUUGCGCGGUUGUCUCGAUCCGUUUUUAUCCACUUUUAUUCUACAAUUUCAUCGUACGGUCGUCCCGGUCCGUGCUUCUUAUAAAAGAUUUAUCUAUUUUUACCUUGCUAUAUUUAAAAAAAAAGUGGAACAUAUCGGUGUUCGGUGUAAUUUGUUCGUUUCCCUUGUGCGUUUUUAGAGUUACGUUCAUUAUGCUUAUAUUAUCCGUAUUCAAAGUUUCAGUAAUAUGUGAAACUUUGUAAAGUGGUAAGGACUCGAGAACGAGGAAGCUGCCCGUGAGGUGGUGGGUGACAGGGAUAGGGUUGCUUCGGAAACAACGCAGUCAAUUCCGGUAUUGCAACAUCACGUUUACAUGGCGUUUCUUCUGCAGAUAUUUAGUUGAAUAACGUUUCACCAAGCAGACCAGGCGACUCUAAAGCUCGCAUCGUAUCCUAUGUUUCAAACUAACCGGGCAAUCAGUGGAACACAGGUUUGCGUGCGAGACGUCGCCGCUUUCGACGGUGGACUCGGAUCACGUUAUCUUGGUGGCUAGGGCCGCCUCUAAUCCUUAUCCUCGUUAAAUCGGGAAUUCGCCCCCAUUAAGGCCCAUUUAUACGUUGCUAGUAGCUGACUUGACAAUGAGCAGCUACUGACCCGGUGGACUCGCUUGACAAUUGGUUGACUCGCCUUGUCCGUUCACAUAGUGUGAGCUGCUGGCGAGAAACUAGAUACUACGGCACGGGUUUACCUGGGAUGCCAGGCGAUUUUUCAAAUGUCCAUCAAAUAGUCAGAAACAGCAAUCAGGUCCGAAUUUGUCAAAUGAUUGGUCCGAAAUCGACUUCUUUAUUGGUAGUUUUCAUCUUAGGUUUUCAGUUGAAUGUAUCAUUACACAAUUUUAUAGAGAUUACAGAGCAGUGUUGAGAAUAACACCUGAACAAGUGGAAAAACUGUUGAAUUUAAUUGCUCCACAAAUACAACGCCAAGAUACACUCAUGAAGGAUGCUGUACCUGCAAGAGUGAUAAUAUAAAUGACAUUGAUAUGCCUUUCUUCUGGAAUAUUGUUCAGAUUGUUGUCGAUAUUUUUUAGAAUCUCGAAAGCAUCCAUAGCUAAGAUAAUUCCGGAAGUAUGUGAUGCUUUAAAUGAUAGUCUAGAAGACUUUUUAAAAUUUUAUUCACACGCGUCAAAAAUUAAAAUAAUGAAUGAAAAUGUACUUUUUUAAAUCGAAUAUGUAUUCUGUUUCUUAGAACCUUACUUUUUUUCGCAAGUUGUGAGUGAAUUUUGAAUGAAAAUUGUGCCUGAUAAUGAUUCUAUAUUAGACAUUCUCCAGAAAACUAUCUCAAAAAGAAAGCGUGCCCCGCCAGCGUGCAAAACAGAAUAACAAUGAUUUCGUUAAGAAACUAUGAGGGUUUUAUUUGUUUUUCCAAUAAUUUUCAAGUCUAUAAAUAUCUUCGCAUAUUUUCAAAUAUCUUAAAAAUAGAGACAUUUCUUUACAUUUGGCAUCCCUGAUUCGAACGCUAAAUUCUGUUUUUGACGUUUUGAAGCAUGCGAGUGCGAGUAAAUUCAAAAAACUUUGAAGUAGCUCGCACGCCGGAUCACACAUGACAAUAACUGGCAUGAUGUGUUCACACGGUGUGAGUAGCUGCACUGCAGUAACUGACUAGACCGACUCGUAUGCUUGCUCGCACCGUCUGAACCCGGCUUUACAUUGACCUCAGAAUAAAUUUAGAAAAACGAAAUAUUAAUUUAUAAUGGAAAUUACGUUUUUUUCUGUGAGGGAUUUAUACCCCUCAUGCUUUUCCCGCGUCACAAUAUUUCUAGCCUACUACAUUUUUUUCUCAGCGAUCGUUUUUGUUGAAUCAAUCUCUUCGUGGGAGGAAAUCACCGUGUUUUACGUCCGCUCAACUCUGAACUCUACGCAGAAACGUUUCUGUACAGAGAUACGUAUACACUGGAUCCUUUUUUUUACAUGACUGAUGCGUGCGUGCAAAAAAAUCGCCUAAUUUCGAGCAAAUCGCGUAAAAAAAUAUCGCGAAAUUCCUAGAGAAUCGCGUAAAAAAUCGCGUAAGAUAAAGGGCCUGAUUCUCGAAUACACUUCACGGUGGAAACGAAAUAAAUGGCACGCCAUUGAACUACGUUUUACGAGUUAGUGAAGUGUUGAAGAUAAUGAUGAGUUUUCAGGCAGAAUGAGCACUUUUCAAAUAAAAAAUCUUUAAUGAAAAUUAACCUCUUCGUAUCAAACUGGUAUUCAAUGUGAGUGGAAUACUUUGUUUUCUUCGUGUGAUAAAAUAAUCUCAUACAAAAAUUUAAUCUGAAGAUAAUUUGAUUUUAUAAUGAUUUAGUGGGAAACUAAUCUCGCAUCCAGAUGUCGACACCGUACCGUUGUCAUCGCGAAUGCGUUUCAUACCGUUUCCACCGUGAAGUGUAUUCGUAGUGUAUUCGAGAAUCAGGCCCAAAAUCACGUAAAAAAUCCAGUGUAAUCACAACAAUUUAAUUAUUUCCUUGAACUAAAACGCUAACAGCUAAAUUAUUGAAUAGCAAUUUCGAAGUAUUAUUCCACCUUUUCAGAACACCUUGUACAAAUUGGCAAGAUGACGUGAGGUAGCAUGAGUCACGUUAGCUACGACACGCGUGACGUUGUAGCCGAGAAAUAAUUCGUCGUGUCGAUCAAAUAAACAAGAGGAGCCAAGCGACUGAUCUAAAUAUUAUUUUCGGAUUUUUGUAUAUUUGCGUUCAUAAAUACUUGCUCAUGGCAGAAAAAAGACUAAUUGAGGCAGUGAGAGAACACAAACUCCUGUACGACACAAAUGAUGCGAACUAUAUAAAGAUUAAAUUGAAAAGUCAUAUUUGGGAAGAUAUUGCAAAAGCAUUGAAUUUUACCGACGGGGAGGAAGCAAAAACGUUGUGGCUUAAAUUGAGGGCCGGCUACCGUGAUGCGCGACGUCGACAGGCGAAAUACCUGAAAAGAGGCACUGCUGCUAAGAAUAUAAAGCCAUGGAGAUUUCAAAAGAAGAUGUCAUUUCUGGAUCCUUUUAUGUUAGCAGGAUCGCGUGAAGGAAACAUAAAUGCUGAAAGUAAUGAAGAUUCACAAGAGCUUGAGCAGUUUGUAAGCACCAUGAGCGAAAAACGAUAUAAGCCCAACGUAACCAAUGAGGAGAUUGAGCAAUCGUUAGUUGAAGACACUACAAGCAACGAUGAAGAACCCAGCAGUAUAAAACAUAAUGCAAUAUCUCAUAUCUCAAGUUCCACUCCAGUGGCAUAUAGUAAACAGCCGAAAAAAUCAAGGCCAGAUGACAAAAACGGAUGCUUCGAACAGCGCUCUAUACCAUUACGUGAAAAUAACGAACGAAAACAAGCGGGAGAGAGAAGAACACUGCAGGCAAACAGUGGUGAUGACCCUCUUCAUAACUUUUUCAUAUCAAUGUACCAGUUCACUAAGACCAUGCCUCCCGAUUAUCAACACCGAGUCAGGGGCCAAAUUUUCCGAGCUGUUUCAGAAGCGGAAGGAGAAAUUUUGAACGUUAGCCACUGGCCGCUUUCAAGGCUGUCAUCAUCCUCAUCGCAGCAUUCACAACAACCGCAAACAUCACGGCAACAGUUUGAAACAGUGUACAAAACUGAAUCUGAUAUCACCGAUCCGAUCGAAUGAACCCUAAAGCGGCACUUACACGAUCAGUAGCAUUGACAUUCACCCCUAUUCCGGUACACGAUCGACGAUUGGAUCGAUUCGGUUUGACAAUCCGAUCGAGUUCGAAUAUUCUGCAUUUCACUCGUGCGCCAAAACCCUAAAGGGCGGUGAAUUUCGAAUAUCGAACUUUCAUCGCAGCAGUCAGACAACUGUGCAACCAAAUCAAAAACAAAAACGGCAAAUGGUUUUAGAAGUUAUAGUUUCCACAGAAAAUUAUUUAUUGAGCAUUAGUAUACAUUUGAAUCAAAGAGCGGUAAGCGGUCGCAGGACGUUACUCAUCAGAUUCUAAAUACCACACAGCACGAAAACACACGAAAGUGACGGUCUAUCAUUUGAAUCUGUACGGACAAUGGAAGCCAAAAAGUUACGUGUGACAAAUCGGAAGCAGUUUGAGGAGUUGAUAAGGAGGAUGGAGGAAAAUCCUAUCGUGGCCAAGGGCCUCAAUUUUUCUGAGAUAUAAAAAAUGUCGAAGUCCACUUUCGCAGCCUAGUUUUAUUAUCAUUAUAUUAUUCUAAUUUUUUUCCCUGAAACUCCAGCUACAAAGAUGCAGGAAUAAUUACCCGAAUAUCGCUUGUUGA